rnacentral:lncRNA from 1 species
CCCAGUGCCCACCAAGUUUGACAUUUGAUGUUUUCUUUCUUUUUCUCGCCCUUCUGCAAGCCCUAGGUCAGCCGCUGAUCUCGGAUACUCAACGUCAACCUCCACAGAGCCUGUCACUCUGCACCCACAGUGCGAUUCUUGUCAAAAAAGGUGCUCGCUUCACUCCUUCUCAAGGCAGCUGAAGGAGCAGGCACACAGAUUGCACCAACUAUGGAUUUAACAGGGACCAUUGUGCAAAUAUUCUGAGCACCUUAAACUGAUGCGCA